AGUGGCCUACGGGAGGCAGCAGUGGGGAAUAUUGCACAAUGGGGGAAACCCUGAUGCAGCAACGCCGCGUGAGUGAUGACGGCCUUCGGGUUGUAAAGCUCUGUCUUCAGGGACGAUAAUGACGGUACUUGAGGAGGAAGCCGCGGCUAACUACGUGCCAGCAGCCGCGGUAAUACGUAGGUGGCGAGCGUUGUCCGGAUUUACUGGGCGUAAAGGGAGCGUAGGCGGACUUUUAAGUGAGAUGU
rnacentral:rRNA from 1 species